CGGUAUAUUCGAUAAAAAGGUACUUUAGUUUUGUGAGCUUGGCGAUAGUGGGCUGAAUUGGGCCUGUGAGCCUGGAAAGUUUAUGGAAUUCGAGGUUUUCGAGAUAUGGGAGGUCACCGAUGGACGGGGNNNNNNNNNNNNNNNNNNNNNNNNNNNNNNNNNNNNNNNNNNNNNNNNNNNNNNNNNNNNNNNACGGGGGUAUGUGGCCCGAGAGAUUUGUGUCUGGCACAGAAGAUUUCAUAAUUAAGGCCGUGAUACGAUGCGUUUUGAUGUCGCACUUGACGCAAUACCAAUCACAACAGUCCGUUUGUGGAUUCCAUGAGGCUAGAAAGUAAGGGUUGUUGAGUUCCUUCUUGAAUCUGAGGAGUACCUUCUUGUCUUGAGGGUUACAUUUCUCAGAUGCAACUGGGGACAGUAGUAGUAGUGAGAGGAGACAUAAUGCUAGAACCAUUGCAGUUCCACCAAACUCGGUUCUCAUUUUUUGUUGUAAUUUGAACUUUAAUGGUAGGGCAGUGGGGUGGGAGAGAAUUGAUGGAACAUUGGUACUUAUAGGAAUAAUAAUGAGAAACACAUGACUUGUUAGUGUCCUGCAAUAAAAUAAACGGUAAUGCUAAACAGUGCCCUUGGGACACUAAUUAAACAUAUUAAAAAAAAAAAUAAAUGAUAAAGUAAAUAAUGGGAGAGAAUAACUUUUCACUUCAUUAAAACAUUGAAUGCACAAUUUACGAGAUAAAACUUCUAUAUUUGUAUCCGGAGGCACUGUUUAGCAUUUUUCCUAAAAUAAAAUAAUGAAUUACUGUAUAUAUUUAUGUCAAUAUCAAUUUUCUGUGCAUGCUUCAUCGUAACAUUGUGAAAGUUGUAAAUAGUACUUCUAUAACAAGUAAAUAAAGUCUAAAAAUAUAUUAUAUUUUAAAGAAUUGGAAAAAAUAAUUAAAAGAAAUUAAUUAGUCACUUGAACUCAAUAUAUUGAUAUAUUGUUUAUGUAAAAUUUUACAAUGUUACAACUAUCAUAAAUAUAAUUUUGGUAGAACUCGUUAUAAGUUUUAUAUGUGGUCAAGAUUAUAUAUGUUACUCAAAUACUAUAUCCGGUCAUAAAUAUAAGAGGAAAUUUACUUUUUAGAUUCAUUGAGAAUUUAAUGUAUCUGGUUCAUAAUAUGAACUAGAUGCAUUAGAUUCUCAAUGAAUCUAAAAAUCAAAAUUUCUCUUAUAUUUAGGACCCGAGAGAGUAUAAGUAUAUUGAUUAAUUAAUAUAUUUGAAAUAUAUUGUCAUAUAUUUUGUCCUUGAUUAUAUGUUACUCCCUAUGUGAUCAAAUACAUUAAUUAUCAUUGAUCGUUAGUUGAUUCAGUGAUGAUUGAUGCUGAACUUGGUGUAGGGAGUUCCACUGUUCGAUACCAGAUUAAACUUAUGGUAAAAGAAAAAAAACAAAACAUUAAUUAUUAAGUAAAUUUAAAAGGAUGAAUUUUACGUAUAUUUUGUUAGGGAGGAAGAUAUUUGGAUUCUCUUUGAUUUUCCUAAAAUAUAUUUAACUUAGAAAGCGAAAAUAUUGUAUAUCUAAUUGUAUUUAUGCGUGUUGUAAAAUAAAAAUACCUUAAAGUUUUGCUUAAAUAUAAAAAAUGUGAAAAAUUAAAACUUUAGAGAAUUAUGAUAAUUUUUGGAAAAUGCUAAACCGAGCACUAGUAAGGCAUAUUAAUAAGAAAAUUUUAGGCAAAAUUACAUUGUAUGUCCUUUAUUUUAUUUUUUUUGUAACACUUUGGUCCUUUAUGUUUUUUUUGUAACACUUUGGUCCUUUAUCAUUUCUUUUGUAACAUUUUGGUCCUUUAUCUUUUUUUAUAACACUUUGGUCCUUUAUUUUUUUUUAUUUGUAACAUAUAGGUCAUUUAUUUUUUAUAAAUAAAUAAGAUAAAGAACUAAAAUGUUAUAAAAAAAAAGACUAAAGUGUUACAAAUAAAAAAAGAUAAAAACUAAAGUGUUACAAAAAAAAAAUAAAGGAUCAAAGUGUUACAAAAAAAAGAUAAAGGAUUAAAUUGUUACAGAGAAAAGUUAAAAGAUCAAAGUNNNNNNNNNNNNNNNNNNNNNNNNNNNNNNNNNNNNNNAAGUGUUAAAAAAAAAAAAAAAGUGCAAAAAAAUUAUUUUUCUAUCCUUAAUUUUAUCUUUAAUUUUCAUUUUUAAUAUGAUUAAUAAAUAAAUGUCCUGAAUAUACUAUUUAGCCUGACCCAUAAUUUAUUUAUUAUAAAUAUAGUCAAAACAUAAACUACUUUAUAUAGUACGCAUUUAUUUUCUUAUACACAUCUUUUGAUAUGAGGAAGUACGUACUACUGUGCUAUACGACAAGUUAAAAGUGGUUUUGGCCCAACCAAAAUCUGUACUUGUACUUUACUCAUUUGUCUACACUAUGAUUAUGGGCUUUAUCCUUUCAUAAGAGAUCACGACUCACGAGGUGGGUUGUUCCAAUUCAAUUAUUGCGUGUAGCAGUGCCAUUUUCCUAUCACUGAGCUGUAUGGCAGUGAAGUAAGUAUACGUACCCUUCUACCAAAAUAAUUGUUUCAUUGAAAAUUGAAAAUGUCAAUUGUUUUGAGACUAAUGUUACGGUUCACAAUUUUUUUAAUAAAAAUAUGUUAUUUUAGAAAGGAGAGAGUGCAUUAUUAAACACAAAUGGUUUCCAAUGGUUUGUGUUGGGAUAGUGGGAGAUAUUUUUAGAUGGUCAUUUGAUUAAAGAUAUUAUAUUUGGUCACACUCAUAAAAUAAAAUAAGUNNNNNNNNNNNNGAGGGAGUGUUGAUGAAUAGUUGAGAAGUUUCAUUAAAUUUAUUGGUCAAGAAAAUGCUUAUGUGGUGGAGCUUUAGGGGUGCUAGUGCUAGAGGGCCUCAUUAGGGAGCUUAAUUUUUGAGUGGAAUUAGUAGUAGCAUUUAAGCUAGAUCUCUUGUUGAGAAAAUUCGUCAGUUUCUAGACUUGGAAUGGGACAAUCGUAGUUCAUUACUCUUAGAUUAUAUAAGAAACUAGUACAAUUGUAGCUCAACUUAGCAAUUUUUUUCUUCUUAAAAAAGGUUACAAAGAUGACAUUUAAGUCAUUCCAACUUAAUACCCCAAAUAAGUCACUAAGAAUGAUACAAGAAAAUAUAAAAAUUUAUCUGUCUCUUUAAAAACCUUAUCAAAGAUUCAAAAAGAGUACAUAGAUAAACUAAAGUACUAAACAUAAAUUCUUAUUCUUAGUUAUAAUCUCAUUGAGACAUGAGAUUCUUAGUAUUAUUAGCAAGUUUUCAUAAUCACUUGCAUUUUGAAAGUGGUGCUCCACACAAACACUUGUUAUGAAGAUAAGCAUACUUAUCAAAAUUAUCCUGCAAUCUUUUCGUCCCACCUUGAGGUAUCUGACCACACAACUUAUUAUAACUCACAUUAAACUGUUGCAAUUCCACUUUCGCCAAUUCAACCGGAAGCUUACCAUAAAUGUUAUUAUGAUUAAUAUCCAACCAUAUCAAACUCUUAAUCGGAAAUUGAACUUUCGAAAAAUCAAACGACAAUAAAUUCCUCGAAAUGUCAAUCUUUUGUGUCUUUUUCUUGCUCCCGAAAAGCACGGAAGCAUCGCCUACGAGCUUGUUCCUCGACAAGUCUAUCCUCUCUGGGUCAAUUUGGCCCAAUGAGGUUGGAAUAGUUCCAGAAAGCUGGUUGCGGGAUAGAAUAAUAUCUGGCCCGGGCUUUUUAAAUGAACCAAAUGAUUCUGGAAUUGUGCCCGUGAGCUUGUUUCCGUCCAAGCGUAAGGAAGUGAGUUUAGGCAAUUGAGAAAGUGAGCUUGGUAUUGGGCCUGAGAGGUAGUUGCCAGUAAGGUGAAGAAGUAUGAGGUUUUUAAGUUGGGCCAAAAAAGGCGGUACUGGGCCUGAGACAUUGGUAUAUUCGAUAAAAAGAUAUUUUAAAUUUUUGAGCUUAGCGAUUGUGGGCGGAAUUGGGCCUGUGAGAUAAGGUAGUCUAUGGAAUGAGAGACUUUGGAGGUAAGGUAGGUCACCUACCGAAGGAGGGAUAUGGCCCGUAAGAUUGGUGAAUACAGGGCUAUCUCUAAUAGAGAGGGAGAUUAUACGGUCUGUUAUUUCAUCACAUUGGAUGAGGUACCAGCCACAACAAGGUGUUUUUGGAUCCCAUGAGGCUAGAAGGUAAGGGUUGUUAAGAUCUUUUUUGAUUUGGAGUAACACUUUCUUAUCUUGUGAGUUGCAAUCUUUUAUUGGUGUAAUUGGUGUAAUUGGCAUGACAGAGAGAGAUUGAGAGGAUUGUGGAGGAGACGAUCCAAAUCCAAGUGGAGAGAGUGACAAAAGGGAGAGGAGGGUGAGAGUGAGAGCUAUUGUAGCUCUACAAAACAUGGUUUCUAUUUUUGGUUGGAAUAUUAUAAUGUUGAAUGAUACUAUUAAGUGGGAGAAUUGGUGUUUUUAUAGAAUUUAAUUAGAAAAACAUGCUAAACGUGACUUAUUAGUAUGGUGUGGAAGAAAACAGUGUAUGGAUAAGGGAAAGAUUUUUACUGACAAAAAGAUAAGGAAAAUCUAAAAUGGAAUGAUUGUGUAUUUUUGUUUGUUCUCUAUGGUAAAUACUAGUGGUAAAUAUUAUGCUCAGUCCAACUUAUUUCUAACUUAUUAGUAAUUCAUAAUGUUAAAAUAAAUUGUUUCUCUUUCAUGCUUUUCACUUUAUACAUAUUUUAAAAAUAUAUAAAAUAUCAUAUGACAACAAAUUUUUCAUAUUCAAAUAUCAUUUUUUUUUUUAUGAAACAUAUGUAAGUAUAGAAAGUAAAAAUUAUAAACGAAAUAGAAAAAAAAAUAAAAAUACUAUAUGUUAUCAAAUUCUAAAUAUGUGUGAAUUUUUUAGUUGAUGUCAUAUAUACCUCAUCAACUAAGUCUUUGGUUGAUGAUGUGUUCAAAGGUAAAACCGGUGGUUUACAUGGGCACACCGCACAUGGUUAUUCUUUACAUAUGUACUUCCAUCUGUGACAAUAUAAAUUAAGAAUAUAAAAAGUAUUUAACCGUGCAUAAAUCAAUAUUUUUAAUAAAAAGCAUGUGUUUCUAUCUUGCAGAACUUUUGGUUCUCUUUGGCCUCUUGUCAGUUUGUGGAUUGACUCCUCUCUAGUGACUGCUCAGGCUAUUUCGGAUCACUUUAUUCAAUUUACUAUUUCAGUAGGGGUUUCUUGUGCACGACGUUCAUUCAUGCAACUCAUAUGACUUGCUUGCGUGUGGGUUGUGUGGACUGAACGAAACCAUUGAUUGUUUAGAGGCUCGACACAUUCAGUAAUCAGAUGUUGGACAAGAUUAGGUCUUUCUCUUAUAGGUGGUUAAAAGCGACGAGUAGUACUUUAGUUUUGAACAGCAAUAAUUGAUGGUCUAGUCCUAUGUUUUGUUUGGACCUUGUAUAAUUUUCCUUAUGAUUUUAUUUUUUGUAUUUUGAUCUCUCUUGUAACUUUAUAAUCUCUCUUGACACACCUUAUAUUAAGUAGAUUACUUUUUAUAUAUACAUAUGUCAUUUUGAUUUGUUAAAAAGAAAUAUUUUUUUUACACAUAGAUUUGAGAUAGUACUACUGUACGGGUACUAUACAAUAGUAUCCGAUAAAGGAGUUAAAGUUGUAACCAAGAAAAAAAGAUAAAGGAGUUAAAGUGGCUUUCGUCCCACCAAAAUUUGUACUCACUCAUUUUGUCUACACUUUCAUCAAUAAUGUUUUCUUUUUAGGCCUCUCAUAUAUCUUUUAUAUCCCCAAAUAUUUUAAUUUUGCUCUUGCUAAAAACUUCGGUUCGUAAAAAUCGAAAUUUUUUCUAGUUCAAAUUCAGGGAAAGUUCGGUUAACAAAGAUCGAAAAAAAAUUUCAAGGCAAAAAAAAUUUGGUUCGUAACAACCAAAAUUUUUAUUAAAGGGUAAAAAUAUAAAAUUCAGAAGGGAAAAAUGAACCAUGACGAACCUAAAGAGAAAACAUCUUCAUCAAUCAUCAUGGGCUUCAGGGAUUGUGUUCUUCAAUUUUCAUAAGAGGUCACAUGGUGGGUUGUUCAACUUCAAUUAUUGCUUGUAGCAGUGCCAUUUUCCUACUAUCACUAUGCUUUUAUGCCAUGCAUGCUGUAUCGCAAAGAAGUACUAUAUGAUGGUGGAUUUACUCCUUUCCUCCCAAAAUAGAUCAUUGAAUACACCACGUACCUUCAGUUAAUGAGCACGCUACCUUCAGUUUUGAACUUCAUUAAUUAACCACAAGUUUUUUAGUUAUUGAUCAAGUAUACAUUUUUUAUUGACACUAGUUAUUCAAGUAUACAUGAUUUAGAUAUGUUUGAAUAUAUAAUAUGAUAUUUAACAAAUUAAAUGAUUGAACUCAAGUGAUUAAUAAGGAUUAUUUAAGGAACAAAUUGUUGAAAAGAACUUUAGUUUGAUUUUUGAGUGAUAUCAUUUUUGUCUGACAUUACUUACGUGUCUCAAAUUUGCAUUAGGGAGUUGCUAAAUUUUACGAAGGAGUGUCAUAAGAAAGACAAGAAUUGUAUGUGUAUACUUGAACAAAUAAAAUUAAAGGUGCGAAGUAGGUAUUUUUGAGUGAUAUUAUUUUUGUCUGACAUUACUUACUCGUCUCAAGAUUUUUAGUAUGUGUAUAGUUUAAAUCAGCGGCACAUAUUCAUUCUUGCUUUUCGUCUCCACAAAGCUUCGUAAAGACCAACAUUUUCCUUUGCAUUAACAUGAUCUCUUUCUUCUAGAAACUCGAGAGUUUUACACACACAAAAAAAAAACACACCAUAAUAUUCAUUAAACACUUGACAUUGUAGUUCAAAUAUGCACUUGAAAAUCAUAGUUAAUUAUGUAAAAUAGAUGGUUAAUGAGUUACAACACUUUCUUAAAUUCAUUAAUCAACCACAUAUUUAAAUUGCAUUAACACUUAAAUUAUUGUUGAAUUUUAAUUUCAAAUUAAAUAUUAUUUCUUUUCAAUUUCUUUUUACGGUUUCUAAAACUCGAUAUCUCUAGCAUUAUUUCAGAAAUUAUAAAAAUGUGAAAACACUAUUUUUAUUGUAAAAAAAAAAAAACAUUAAUUGUUCCUAACAAGUGAUUGAACUUAAGUUAUUUAGGUUAGUGAUGCCGUAAACAAGAUUGGUCUCAUUCACAAUUUUCUUUAUUAAAACAGGCUCGUAAAUUAACCUUUGAAAAAUAAUUCUUAAUUUUAACCAAGGUUUUGCGAAGGGAAAAAAUAAUAUAUCACAUUAAUUUUAACAGAGUCGUUUUUAUUAUAAAGUUUUGAAAAAUAAAUUAACAAUUUCAUUUUGAAACCACACAAGUUUAAAACACUGAGGUUAAUUUAUAAUUCUUAAUUUUUUUUGGAUUUCACCACCAAUUUAAUCUGGUUCGGCAAUUAGUUCUGGCAUCAAAUAAUUUCAGCCUAUUCCGAUUGCAGUUGCUAUCAUUCUUAAUUUUAACAAGCUAAGGUUUUGCGAAGCGAAAAAAUAAUAUCACAUUAAAAGAAACUAUAACGGCAGCUCAACUUAGCAAUUGAACUUUGUCAAAAGAAAAAAAACUUAGCAAUUGAACAUUGAACAAAUUGCAUGCAAAUCAUAUCGUACUCAAAUACAAACUCUCAUUCUUAUGUCUCAUUGAAAACAUGAGAUUCAUUUAUUGUCAACUUAGCAAGUUUUCUUUUAUCACUUGCAUUUUGGAAGUGGUUUGCCACACAAACACUUGUUAUGAAGAUAAGCAUACUCAUCAAACCUGUCCUGCAAUCUCCCAGUUCCACCCUGAGGUAUCGCACCACACAAUCUAUUAUAACUCACAUUAAACUGCUGCAAAUUUUCGACUUUCGUCAAUGCAACCGGAAUCUUCCCAUAAAUCUUAUUAUGAUUAAUAUCUAACCAUAUCAAACUCUGUUUCGGAAAAUCAACUUUUGAAAAAUCAAAUGACAAUAAAUUCCUCGAAACAUCAAGUAUUUGUGUCUUUUUCUUGCUCCCGAAAAGCACAGAAGCAUCACCUUCAAAUUUGUUUCUCGACAAGUCUAUCCUAUCAGGAUCUAAUUGGCCCAAUGAAGCCGGAAUAGGCCCAGAAAGCUGGUUGUGAGAUAAGAUGAGAUCUGGGCCGGGCUUUUUGAAUGACCCAAAUGAUUCUGGAAUUGGGCCCGUGAGCUUGUUUCGGUCCAAGUGCAAGGACUCGAGUUUAGGCAAUUGGGAAAGUGAGCUUGGUAUUGGGCCUGAGAGGUUAUUGGUGGAAAGGUGAAGAAGUUGAAGGUUUUUAAGUUCGGCCAAGAAAGGCGGUAUUGAACCUGAGACAUUGGUAUAUUCGAUAAAAAGAUAUUUGAGAUUUUUUAGUUUAGCGAUUGCGGGCUGAAUUGGGCCUGUGAGAUAAGGUAGUUUAUGGAAUGUGAGAGAUUCAAGGUAAGGGAGGUCACCUACCGAAGGAGGGAUAUGGCCCGAGAAAUUGGUGAAUGCCGGGCUAUCCAAAAUAUCG
rnacentral:lncRNA from 1 species